rnacentral:rRNA from 1 species
GACGAACGCUGGCGGCGUGCUUAAUGAAUGCGAGUCGAGCGAGAACCGGACUGAGGAAACCUUCGGGUGGAAUCAGUCUGGGGAGAGCGGCAAACGGGUGAGUAACACGUGGGUAACCUGCCCCUCAGACGGGGAUAAUUCGCCGAAAGGCGGACUAAUACCCGAUGGUGAUGUGCCAACACAUGUUGAUACAUCUAAAGGCUCCGGUGCUGAGGGAGGGGUCCGCGGCCGAUUAGCUUGUUGGUAGGGUAACGGCCUACCAAGGCUUCGAUCGGUAGCCGGUCUGAGAGGAUGACCGGUCACACUGGGACUGAGACAUGGUCCAGACUCCUACGGGAGUUAGCAUCAGGGAAUCUUGCGCAAUGGGCGAAAGCCUGACGCAGCGACGCCGCGUGGGUGAUGAAGGCCUGCGGGUCGUAAAGCCCUGUCGGGAGGGAAGAAACAGCACCUUCGGGUGCUUUGACUGUACCUCCGGAGGAAGCCCCGGCUAAUUACGUGCCAGCAGCCGCGGUAAUACGUAAGGGGCCAGCGUUGUCCGGAAUUACUGGGCGUAAAGAGCACGUAGGCGGUUAGGAAAGCGAUAGGUGAAAUCCCCCGGCUCAACCGAGGAACUGCUUAUCGAACUGCCUGACUAGAGCACGGGAGAGGGCACUGGAAUUCCUGGUGUAGCGGUGGAAUGCGUAUAUAUCAGGAGGAACACCGGUGGCGAAGGCUGGUGCCUGGAACGUUGCUGACGCUAAGGUGCGAAAGCCAGGGGAACAAACGAGAUUAGAUACCCCGGUAGUCCUGGCCGUAAACGAUGGACACUAGGUGUUGGAGGUUCGACCCCUUCAGUGCUGUUAAGCUAACGCGUUAAGUGUCCCGCCUGGGGAGUACGGUCGCAAGGCUGAAACUCAAAGGAAUUGACGGGGGCCCGCACAAGCGGUGGAGCAUGUGGGUCAAUGGGAUGAUACGCCGAGAACCUUACCAGGGCUUGACAUGACCCUGAUCCCCUGCGAAAGCAGGUCUUCUGGGCAACCAGACAGGGCCACAGGUGGUGCAUGGUUGUCGACAGCUCGUGUCGUGAGAUGUUGGGUUAAGUCCCGCAACGAGCGCAACCCUCGCCGGAUGUUGCCAGCGGUUAGGCCGGGCACUCUUCCGGGACUGCCGGAGUAAUCCGGAGGAAGGGGGGGAUGACGUCAAAUCUGCAUGCCCCUUAUGUCCUGGGCUGCACACGUGCUACAAUGGCGAGUACAAAGGGUCGCGAAGCCGCGAGGCCCAGCUAAUCCCCAAAAACUCGUCCCAGUUCGGAUUGGAGUCUGCAACUCGACUCCAUGAAGUCGGAAUCGCUAGUAACCGUGGAUCAGCAAUGCCGCGGUGAAUACGUUCCCGGGCCUUGUACACACCGCCCGUCAAGUCACGGAAGCCGACAGCACCCCAAGUCCGCUACGGCGGCCCAAGGUGAGGUCAGUGACUGGGACU